UACGGGGGGAGCAAGCGUUGUUCGGAUUUACUGGGCAUAAAGGGCGCGUAGGCGGUCAGCACAAGUCAGUUGUGAAAUCUCCGGGCUUAACUCGGAAAGGUCAACUGAUACUGUGCGACUAGAGUGCAGAAGGGGCAACUGGAAUUCUCGGUGUAGCGGUGAAAUGCGUAGAUAUCGGGAGGAACACCAGUGGCGAAGGCGACUUCCUGGCCUGUUCUUGACGCUGAGGCGCGAAAGCUAGGGGAGCAAACGGG
rnacentral:rRNA from 1 species